UGGCAUAAACUCAUGAGCGGUGUUGUGUC
rnacentral:piRNA from 1 species